rnacentral:rRNA from 1 species
CCAAUACUGACGCUCAUGCACGAAAGCGUGGGUAGCAAACAGGAUUAGAUACCCUGGUAGUCCACGCCCUAAACGAUGUCAACUAGGUGUUGGGUGGGUAAAACCAUUUAGUACCGGAGCUAACGCGUGAAGUUGACCGCCUGGGGAGUACGGCCGCAAGGUUAAAACUCAAAGGAAUUGACGGGGACCCGCACAAGCGGUGGAUGAUGUGGAUUAAUUCGAUGCAACGCGAAAAACCUUACCUACCCUUGACAUGUCCAGAAGCUCUUAGAGAUUUGAGUGUGCCCGAAAGGGAACUGGAACACAGGUGCUGCAUGGCUGUCGUCAGCUCGUGUCGUGAGAUGUUGGGUUAAGUCCCGCAACGAGCGCAACCCUUGUCGUUAAUUGCCAUCAUUCAGUUGGGCACUUUAACGAGACUGCCGGUGACAAACCGGAGGAAGGUGGGGAUGACGUCAAGUCCUCAUGGCCCUUAUGGGUAGGGCUUCACACGUCAUACAAUGGUCGGUACAAAGGGUUGCCAACCCGCGAGGGGGAGCUAAUCCCAGAAAGCCGAUCGUAGUCCGGAUCGUAGGCUGCAGCUCGCCUGCGUGAAGUCGGAAUCGCUAGUAAUCGUGGAUCAGCAUGUCACGGUAAAUACGUUCCCGGGUCUUGUACACACCGCCCGUCACACCAUGGGAGCGGGUUCCGCCAGAAGUAGGUAGCCUAACCGCAAGGAGGGCGCUUACGGAGGCGGGGUUCGUGACUGGGGUGAAGUCGUAACAAGGU